CCCGGUGCCGCGGGCGUCGGGUGACCUGGCGUCCGCGGCGGAGGAAUCAGAGGGGGAGGGACAUGUCAUCCUUCCCCCCGGGAUGAGCCUCGACAGGCAAGGCAAGGCGGGGGACUCUGUGAUGGCGGAGGACGGUCACCGUGGGGUUUUAGCCGGUUCUAUUAGUAGUAAUUGCAACUGAAAGGGGCCAGUACCGUUGCAAGAAAAUAUAUAUGAGAAACAGUCAUAAUACAUUCUUCAGAAGAUAUGAAAGCAAGACGUACAGCACGUUAUUUCAAGAGGUGUGGUCCAGAGAAGGUAUCAUAACUGUAGGAAUAAAAUAAUUGCUAGAGCGAUCGAUGAACUCGUAUAAAAGUAGGCAAAGGUUUUGGGUGCUCACGCGUUUUUGUCCGGGACACUCAUUGUUACGAGACGCUCCGAAUAACAAAGCGCGCGUCAAAAUAUGACAAGUGAACGGCCGCAAGGAUGAGUGUGAGAGAGAGAAUGCGAGUGAGUGAGUGUGACAGAGUGAAGGUGCGAUAACCCGCGAGCAGGUCGACAAUAGUAUAUAAGCAGCGUAACAGCUGACGAAAACAAGAGUCUUCAAAAGAGUGUAUAUAGAGCGCGAACACGAGUUUCAGUUGUAUCGAUUACCGGCGAAAUAAAAUAUUUUUAUCACCACGUUCCUUAUUUCUAAAUCCCACAUAACAUAACCUUGAUAUAAUCUUAUGUAUUAUAAUGUGCGUUCGAUAAGUACUUUGUGUAUCAGGCGUUCAUUUAUGUUAGG